UGUGUUCCAGACACUGGGUGCUAGGACUCUC
rnacentral:piRNA from 1 species